AAGGUUACACUGUCUCCUUUUUCUAAUCAGUAAAACUAAUCUUCCCGUGAAGAAGCGGGGAUCCUUAUAUAAGACGAGAAGACCCUAUGGAGCUUUAAACGAAAUAACAUCUACCAACUCACCUAACAAUUUCAGAAAAUUAAUACUAAACUUGGUAUAAUGGUUACUAGUUUUAGGUUGGGGUGACCGCGGAGCAAAAAACAACCUCCGCAUUGAAUGGACUUACACUCCUAAACAAAAAGCCACAACUUUAUGUAUCAACACAUUGACAUCCAUUGACCCAUUAAUUUGAUCAACGAACCAAGUUACCCUAGGGAUAACAGCGCAAUCCAUUUCAAGAGCUCCUAUCGACAAAUGG
rnacentral:rRNA from 1 species